ACUGCGGGUUAAGAGGUUGGGCGUUGUUUUGACGCGAUAGAAGGGUGUGGACUGAAUUUCAUAGAGGUUUGUCGUUGUUUUGACCCGAUAGAAGGGAGUGGAUUUAGCUCUUUCCAAUCUUCGAUCUGUCGAUAAAAGGUGAUCUGCGACAACUAAACCAAUCGUGUUUGGGUCUUGAAGAUAAUCGUGCUAAACCAACCAGAAUUGAAAGAAGGGAGAAAAGCCAAACCAUUCCAAUCUUGGAUCUGUGGGUGACAGAUUUGAUGCGAAAGACUCUGUCUUUGAUUGUUUUGUAGCUGUUCCUCAAUCUGUUGUUUGCUGGUGUUUCAGUGUUUUGCUUUUAUUCAGAUUUGAGGAACAGUUUGGUGUUACAUUGUUUAUCUACUUCAAAUUUAGGUA